rnacentral:rRNA from 1 species
UACGAAGGGGGCAAACGUUGCUCGGAAUUAUUGGGCGUAAAGCGCACGUAGGCGGCAGUGCAAGUCGGAUGUGAAAUCCCUCGGCUCAACCAAGGAAGUGCAUCCGAAACUGCAGUGCUUGAGUACGAAAGAGGAUCGCGGAAUUCCCGGUGUAGAGGUGAAAUUCGUAGAUAUCGGGAGGAACACCAGUGGCGAAGGCGGCGAUCUGGGUCGAUACUGACGCUGAGGUGCGAAAGCGUGGGGAGCAAACAGG